GACGAACGCUGGCGGCGUGCUUAACACAUGCAAGUCGAACGGAAAGGCCCUGCUUUUGUGGGGUGCUCGAGUGGCGAACGGGGGAGUAACACGUGAGUAACCUGCCCUUGACUUUGGGAGAACUUCAGGAAACUGGGGCGAAUACCGGAUAGGAGCUCCUGCUGCAUGGUGGGGGUUGGAAAGUUUCGGCGGUUGGGGAUGGACUCGCGGCUUAUCAGCUUGUUUGUGGGGUAGUGGCUUACCAAGGGUUUGACGGGUAGCCGGCCUGAGAGGGUGACCGGGCACCUUGGGACUGCGAUACGGCCCAGAAUCCUACCGGCGGCAGCAGUCGGGAAUCUUGCACAAUGGGGCGACGCCUGAUGCAGCAACGCCGGGUGCGGGAUGACGGCCUUUGGGUUGUAAACCGCUUUCGCAUGUGACGAAGCGUGCGUGACGGUAAUGGGUCAAGAAGCCCCGGCUAACUACGUG
rnacentral:rRNA from 1 species